rnacentral:rRNA from 1 species
GAGUUUGAUCCUGGCUCAGAUUGAACGCUGGCGGAAUGCUUUACACAUGCAAGUCGAGCGGCAGCGCGGGGCAACCUGGCGGCGAGCGGCGAACGGGUGAGUAAUGCAUCGGAACAUGUCCAUGUCGUGGGGGAUAGCCCGGCGAAAGCCGGAUUAAUACCGCAUGUGCCCUUUGGGGGAAAGCCGGGGACCGCAAGGCCUGGCGCGAUUGGGUUGGCCGAUGUCCGAUUAGCUAGUUGGUGGGGUAAAGGCCCACCAAGGCGAUGAUCGGUAGCUGGUCUGAGAGGAUGAUCAGCCACACUGGGACUGAGACACGGCCCAGACUCCUACGGGAGGCAGCAGUGGGGAAUUUUGGACAAUGGGGGAAACCCUGAUCCAGCCAUUCCGCGUGAGUGAAGAAGGCCUUCGGGUUGUAAAGCUCUUUUGUCCGGAACGAAACGGUUACGGCUAAUACCUGUGACUACUGACGGUACCGGAAGAAUAAGCACCGGCUAACUACGUGCCAGCAGCCGCGGUAAUACGUAGGGUGCGAGCGUUAAUCGGAAUUACUGGGCGUAAAGCGUGCGCAGGCGGUUUUGUAAGCCAGAUGUGAAAUCCCCGGGCUUAACCUGGGAAUGGCAUUUGGGACUGCAAGGCUGGAGUGCGGCAGAGGAGACUGGAAUUCCUGGUGUAGCAGUGAAAUGCGUAGAUAUCAGGAGGAACACCGAUGGCGAAGGCAGGUCUCUGGGCUGACACUGACGCUCAUGCACGAAAGCGUGGGGAGCAAACAGGAUUAGAUACCCUGGUAGUCCACGCCCUAAACGAUGUCGACUGGUUGUUGGGGGUUUGACACUCUCAGUAACGAAGCUAACGCGUGAAGUCGACCGCCUGGGGAGUACGGCCGCAAGGUUAAAACUCAAAGGAAUUGACGGGGACCCGCACAAGCGGUGGAUUAUGUGGAUUAAUUCGAUGCAACGCGAAAAACCUUACCUACCCUUGACAUGUCCGAGAGCCCGAUGAGAGU